rnacentral:lncRNA from 1 species
UUCCAACCGGUCAUAGCGGAGAAAAUUUUGAAGAUUCCAUUGGCGGAGACAGUACAAGAGGACUUUCAAGUAUGGAGAGGAGAACCGACAGGGGAGUUCUCCGUAAGGAGUGCUUAUAAACUAUUACAGGAAACUAACCUUGAUCCUAAUGGAUUAAUGGUACAUACCGAGGAAAAAAAUUUCUAUACUAAACUAUGGAAAUUACAUAUUCCUUCAAAAAUUCAAAUGACAGUAUGGAGGAUCUCUUGGAACUUUAUCCCAACUUUUAUCAACCUCAAAAUCAAAAGGGUUGUUAGGAAUUCCCAAUGUCCCAGAUGCGGAUGUGAUGAAGAGGAUAGCUGCCAUAUCUUCCAAAAAUGCCCUACAUCGAUAGAAGUUUGGAAUCAGUUGAAUCUUUCAUGGCUACUGAGUCAGAAUAAUGAUAAUAGAUGGGAUUGGCUUACAUGGGUCUUUG